UUAGUAUUUGGUCGUAGACCCGAAACCAGGUGAUCUACCCUUGGUCAGGUUGAAGUUCAGGUAACACUGAAUGGAGGACCGAACCGACUUACGUUGAAAAGUGAGCGGAUGAACUGAGGGUAGCGGAGAAAUUCCAAUCGAACCUGGAGAUAGCUGGUUCUCUCCGAAAUAGCUUUAGGGCUAGCCUCAAGUGAUGAUUAUUGGAGGUAGAGCACUGUUUGGACGAGGGGCCCCUCUCGGGUUACCGAAUUCAGACAAACUCCGAAUGCCAAUUAAUUUAACUUGGGAGUCAGAACAUGGGUGAUAAGGUCCGUGUUCGAAAGGGAAACAGCCCAGACCACCAGCUAAGGUCCCAAAAUAUAUGUUAAGUGGAAAAGGAUGUGGCGUUGCCCAGACAACUAGGAUGUUGGCUUAGAAGCAGCCAUCAUUUAAAGAGUGCGUAAUAGCUCACUAGUCGAGUGACACUGCGCCGAAAAUGUACCGGGGCUAAACAUAUUACCGAAGCUGUGGAUUGUCCUUUGGACAAUGGUAGGAGAGCGUUCUAAGGGCGUUGAAGCAUGAUCGUAAGGACAUGUGGAGCGCUUAGAAGUGAGAAUGCCGGUGUGAGUAGCGAAAGACGGGUGAGAAUCCCGUCCACCGAUUGACUAAGGUUUCCAGAGGAAGGCUCGUCCGCUCUGGGUUAGUCGGGUCCUAAGCUGAGGCCGACAGGCGUAGGCGAUGGAUAACAGGUUGAUAUUCCUGUACCACCUAUAAUCGUUUUAAUCGAUGGGGGGACGCAGUAGGAUAGGCGAAGCGUGCGAUUGGAUUGCA
rnacentral:rRNA from 1 species